GUUGUGGCUCAGUGGUAUAGAGCUUGCCUAGCAUGUGUGAGGCACUGGGUUCAAUUCUCAGCAUCACA
rnacentral:tRNA from 1 species